AUUCGCUACAGACGGUAUGUAUUUUCUCAGUGGCCAGUGGUGGCCCAACUGCCCCCCGUCCAGAGGGUCCUCUCUUUUGCAGCUGCAUUGUCAAUUUCACACGCCAGUUGGUCUGCUCUCUCUUCUCGUCGAUGUCCUAGUCCUUGGUCCUUGUUCACCCAUUACCACCCCCUCAGCCCACUAGAGUGUAUUUUGUUAUUGCUAACCAUUCGUGGCACGUUCAAUUGAUUGAAUUGAAGUCGCAUAGCAGCGCUUCUCAUCGCACUGGAAUGGAAUGAAACACUGAGAACAUGUUUUUGUUUUUUUGGAUUUAAAUACAUUUUUAAACUUUAAAGUACUAUAUGGUAUGAAAACUAUAGCUUGGUUCAUAAGAAAACGUAAGAUGAAAUCAAUCAAUAUCCCUUAUUGAUUUGUAUGAUUAUUUAUUAUAAUAUAAUAGUGUCAGUAAACGCCCUAUGAAAGCAAA